rnacentral:rRNA from 1 species
AUGGCCGAGAUGCCCCCCGUGAGGUUGCUUUUGUUGUCCCUCCUCUUCACCCUCGUGAUCGCCACGGCGAGGGACAGUGUUGGCAACCAUGAUGAUGAUGAUGGAGCCGCCUUGCUUGCUUUCAAGGUGGGUAUCAGGAGGGGCGGAAGCUCUGGCCCACUCCGCUCGUGGAACAGCAGCACCAGCUUCUGCAGCUGGGAGGGUGUGACCUGCGGCGGCGGCAGCGGCAGGGUGGUGGCGCUGGACCUGUCCUCCCAUGGGCUCGCUGGGAUGCUCCCGGCGGCCAUUGGGAACCUCACAUCGUUACGGACGCUCAACCUGAGCUUCAACUGGUUCCAUGGGGGCAUCCCGGCGAGCCUUGGCCGCCUUCAUCGUCUCCAGACGCUUGACCUGAGCUAUAACUCACUCUCCGGCACGCUGCCUGACAACAUGAGCCUCUGCACCGGCAUGACGGCCCUGGUCCUCGGCAGCAACAACCUCGGUGGGCUCAUCCCGUCCAGCCUCGGUGAUACACUGACCAACCUGAAGAAGGUCUCGCUGACGAACAACAGCUUGACAGGCGCCGUCCCAGCGUCGCUAGCCAACCUGUCGUUCCUGCAACACCUCGAUCUCUCCAUCAACCAGCUCGAGGGCUCGAUCCCACCAGGACUCAGAGGCCUCAGGAGCAUCUCUCACAUCGAUCUCUCCGCAAACGGAUUCUCCGGUGCGCUCCCAAGCUCUCUCUACAACCUGUCAUUGCUGAGGAGCCUUCAGGUUGAGGGGAACACGCUGCAAGGAAGCAUCCCUGCCGACAUCGGCGACAGGCUCCCGGCCAUGGAAAAGCUUGUCUUGUCCCGGAACAGAUUCAGCGGCGCCAUCCCUCAUUCAGUCACCAACCUCUCCUCUCUCACAGCACUUCGCCUUGGGUGGAACCAGUUUAGCGGCCACGUACCUCGCACGCUGGGGAGGUCGCAGGACCUGCGGUACCUGGAGCUGGCUGGCAACAAGCUUGAAGCAGACAACAGCAGGGGAUGGGAGUUCAUGGAUUCGCUUGCAAACUGCACCCAGCUACAGUAUCUGGCCCUCGACAACAACUCCUUCAGAGGGCAGCUGCCAGGUUCAGUCGUAAACCUCUCAACAAGUCUCGAGAAGUUUUUCAUAGGCUACAACAACAUCUCAGGGGAAAUCCCUUCAGACAUCUCCAAUCUGGCAGGCCUGAAGGUGCUGCAGGUAGCAAAUACCUCCGUGUCAGGAGCUAUUCCAGAGAGCAUCGGGAAGCUAGCAAACCUUGUCAUGUUCUUCAUGUUCAACAAUGCCUUGUCAGGCCUCGUGCCACCAUCUGUCGGGAACCUCACCAGGUUGAACUGGAUCCUCGCGUACAAUAAUAACCUGGAAGGACCAAUCCCAGCGAGCCUAGGGAAACUCAAGGACCUCAACAUUCUGGAUAUGUCCAAAAAUCGCCUGAAUGGCUCCAUUCCCAGAGAGAUCUUCAAACUGUCUUCACUUUCUAUACAACUAGACCUGUCAUACAAUUCCCUUUCUGGACCCUUGCCAUCAGAGGUUGGUAGCUUGACUAACCUUAAUUGGUUGGUACUAUCAGGAAAUCAGUUACGCGGUAGGAUACCUGAAAGUAUCUCGAGUUGCACGGUCCUGGAAUACCUGUUAUUGCAUAAUAACUCGUUUGAAGGAAGCAUACCAACAAAUUUGAAGAAUAUAAAGGGGCUCACCACGGUAAGCUUGUCAAUGAACAAGUUGUCCGGUACGAUUCCCGAUGCCUUCGAUGGAAUUGCCACUUUGAAAGAGCUGUAUCUGGCACAGAACAACUUGACUGGGUCAAUCCCAGCUGUUCUACAAAAUUUGACAUUGCUGUCGGUGCUAGAUUUGUCGUUCAAUAAUCUGGAAGGUGAAGUGCCAACUGGGGGCGUCUUUAGAAACCUAACCUAUGAAUGGGUCCAAGGAAACAGUAAGUUGUGUGGUGGAGUACAUCAGCUUCACCUGGCUCCAUGUUCCUCCUUAUACCCUGUGAGAAAUCACAAAAAGUCUCUUGUAGUACCUCUCACAGUAACAGGGUCACUCAUGCUACUAGUGUCAGUUAUUGUUAUUGUUUGGUUACUCCACAGGAAGCUCAAAGAAAGUAACAAGUUUCAUAUGCUACCUUUAACUAUUGACAAACAUCAGAGAGUGUCUUAUCAAGCAAUUUUCAACGGAACUAAUGAGUUCUCAGAGGCCAACUUACUUGGUAAAGGAAGAUAUGGUGCUGUUUACAGAUGCACCUUGGAUGAUGAGGGUACAGCUACAAGUGUGGCCGUAAAGGUGUUUGACCCCCAACAAUCAGGAUCUUCCAAGAGUUUUGAGGUUGAAUGUGAGGCCUUGAGAAGAGUGCGUCACCGAUGUAUCCUAAAAAUCAUCACCUGUUGCGCAAGCAUCAGCCCCCAAGGUCAAGAGUUCAAGGCUCUGGUUUUUGAGCUCAUGCCCAACAACAGUCUAGACAGCUGGCUUCAUCCUAAAUCCCAAGAGCGGGCUCCAUGCAGUACGCUCAGCCUAGCUCAGCGGCUGGACAUUGCUGUUGAUAUCCUGGAUGCACUGGACUAUCUUCACAACGACUGUCAACCACCGAUCAUCCACUGUGAUAUCAAGCCAAGCAACAUACUCCUCGCACAUGACAUGACUGCACGUGUUGGAGAUUUUGGCAUAGCAAGAGUUCUUCCUGAGAAUGCAAGCCAAACCAUGCUGAAUUCAACUAGCUCCACAGGAGUACGAGGUUCCAUUGGCUACAUUGCUCCAGAGUACGGUGAAGGAUCUGCUGCCUCACCUAUUGGUGAUGUUUAUAGCCUCGGUAUAUUGUUGCUUGAGAUGUUCACCGGAAGAAGCCCCACAGACGACAAGUUCAAAGGUUCACUGAAUCUGCAUAAAUUUGCUCAGGCCGCUCUUCCAAAUAAAGUCAUGGAAAUAGCCGACCCAGCAAUCUGGAUACACACAGAGGCAAAUGAUACAGGUGCAGCUGACACCGGCACUGCAAGAACAAGAACUGAGGAAUGCUUGGUUUCUGUCAUGAGUGUUGGCAUAUCCUGCUCAAUGCAACAGCCCAGAGAGCGAAUGCUGAUAAGGGAUGCAGCUUCAGAGAUGCAUGCAAUCAGAGAUGCGUACCUUAUAUUUGCCAAUUCACCGAUACAUCAGAGAGAAUAA